rnacentral:misc_RNA from 1 species
GCGAACCACUAUCUGAGAGAAUUCGGGCCAAGUAAUAAUAGACAUAACGCAGAACAGUUCGAUCCUCGCACUGUUGAUCAAGCAUAAGAAGAGAUGGUGCUAGAGAAGGAUCAACAGAAUUGUAUACUGCCAAUUUUGGGAAAACAUGAUGAACCAAUUGCCUCUGAGAACUUUUUUGAUCAGACGUGGCUGCUAGCUCGUGGAUGC